CAUUCUCUCCUCUUCUUUGACCAUCCCUGGCUACAGCUUUUGGGAAUCCCUGUACUUUUCCUUCUGCGAGAAGCACACAAAAAAGGCUCCAUUAACCAAAGGAUGUGCCCAAAUAGAACCGUGCGCUACUGCCUGACAUUCACAGCAACCUUGUGAGAUGCAUAUGCGUCGUGUUUCCUUCAGGGCAUCCAGAGGGGAUAUGUGGCUUUCCCUCUCAAAUUUUUCCUCACCACAACCCUGCGAGAUCUCGUGAAACUGAACACUCUGCAAGAUUAGCAUCUUCAGGAAGACUGGUGUUCAGUGGGCCAGUAAAUUGCAGUGAAAUCCUUCCGUCUGGAUUUGUGGAAGGCUGAAUGAGUUGGAUCCAUUUAGCCUGGCAGAAAGAUCAUGAACAGAUGGGAUGUUCUGCAAAUAUUUAAAAGGCUGCCAUGCGGAAGAAGGAAAAAGGUUUUUCUCUGUUGUCUCUUCGGGGAAAAACUAAAACUGAUGGCUGGAAAUUGUCAAGAAGCGGGCUUAACCACAAAGGGCCUGUUUGUACAACACAGGAAAGGAAAAGGGAGGAAGAAAGGAAGGGAAAGAAAGGCGAGCCCAGGCAGGAGCGCUUCACACCUCCUCAGCCACCUCAUCGUGCAAUAAUGGCCAGAAGGCCACACACGUGGAAAAGAACGUGUCUGACAUUCUCUUCUCUUUGGAAAGGAAGACCCAAAACACAUUUUCUCACGUCAGAGUGAGAACUGGAAGUGCAGGAUCAUUUCUCUGUCCGGGGCAGCUGUAAUUGCUGGGCUGGGAAAGAAGUGAGUCACCCAGGCUAGAGCUCGUUCCGGGCCAUGGAUCGUAACUGGAACCUUCAUGUCUCAGAGCAGUCUACCUUCAAUACCUCUUCCGAGUCCAACCUCUGCAAUGCAAAUGGUUCCAGGAUUCUGUGCAGCUCCUAGCGCACCGGGGCAUCGAACAGCAACAGCAGAGAAUCAGCUGAUUGCCUGCUCGGUGGGAAAUGUGGCUGCUAAGGGCCAGGCUGAAGCGAACAUUCAGGCAAUCCGCACCCGUUGGGUUCCCCCAAGCACGCAAGAUCAAGAUUCAUUCUUAUUUCUGUGGCUGGGCAUUUUCCUUUCUCAGGUGCUGAUCGGACGAGUGCUGCUUUAUGUGCUCCUUAGUAGCCACCGGCCAUCAAGAGCCCUUAACGUGCAUUUGAGCAAAUGACUUUCUAGCCGGUGUUUCCCCUUGAAGGAAAAUGACUGAGUUUGGGGCAGUUUAAAGCCAAAAAAAAGAGCUCCUUUUGCUUUGCGUGCUUCUUCCCUCCCUCCUGAGAUGAGAGAAGAAGCGGCGCGGUGUGGGAACCCCAGAGACCCCAUCGCCACUGCCAGGGCGACUUUGGGGAGCUACCUGGCACCCCGUGUUCCACGCAGGAGGCCAGCGGGAAGCAUCCCGUGACGGGCAUGGCUGGUGGGUCAGACUGGAUCUCUUUGCAGCAGGGUGAGUCUUGCUGCACUGCAGCACCCUGUCAGCUCCCAGAUGUGCUGAUGCCCUGAGGGGCCUUUCCUCAGUUUCCCUGCUGGGUCUGCAGCACCUCCCACGGAGGCAGCUCCUGAUGUUCUCCUCGCCCUGUCCAGUAGCCUGGGUGGAAGGGCCAGACCCGCUGAUUAGCUGGCUGGCACCCUCAUCUUCUCCCGCCCCUUCCAUCAUUCAGGUCUGGCUUCUUUUUCUGCUGCCCCAAAUUUGCCCAAUCCCAAGAAAAUAAACACUCCUGGCGGCUCCCACAGCUUGAGCACAGAUGGCUGUCACCUGCGCGAUCUAAACAGUGGGGGACGGUUCAGGGGUUUCUCGGGAGAAGUCACGUCCCGGGCCAAGCCGCGGGUCUGCCGCCUCACGCAGCCUGUGCGGGAGGCCAGCGUGCCAGUUGCUAAGCAGUCCGGACACAGAAGCGUCCCAGGCUUUGCUCUGGGUUCUCCCUGGGCCUGGAGCCCAGGCGGCCGACUCUUUCGCUCCCCUCCUGUGCCCGUUGAAGCAGGCGUGGACUGGAUGAGCGGGCCCCAGCUAUCAGUGCCCCCUUACUGAGAGGGCUGGGGGCCAUGUGAGAGGUUCGGCCCACCCCGCUCUGGUGUCCAUUCAGGGGACAUCAGUGGGGCCUUUGGAAAAAAGUUCUUCUAAGUCCAUUCAGGGUCUCCCUGUCACGUUCCCAGCCUGCGUAUCUGCUGUAAGCUCCCAACAUUGCCCCCGGUUCAUUUCCUCCGAAUGCCACUUUAAUCCAGAGCAGGUGGCAGCCUCUGGCUAAUUUUGGCCGAACCCAAAAGCCAAGCAGGGUUAGGUUAGGUUGCCCUUGGAUGGGACACCACCCGGAAAUUCCUCCCUAUCUAGGAAGACGACACCGACAAACCAUGUCCACUCUGUAGCCAGGGAAACAACAGGAUGUGUUCAUGUAUAAUUGAGCUGAAUUCCAGGGAAACGUUACUUUCCUUUCAUUAUUGUGAUUUGUGUGACAUCGAUAAAUACAUUAACUCUACUUUUACGUUGG